rnacentral:rRNA from 1 species
CAGGAUGAACGCUGGCGGCGUGCUUAACACAUGCAAGUCGAACGAAGCACUCUAUUUGAUUUCCUUCGGGAUUGAUUAUUUUGUGACUGAGUGGCGGACGGGUGAGUAACGCGUGGGUAACCUGCCUUGUACAGGGGGAUAACAGUUGGAAACGGCUGCUAAUACCGCAUAAGCGCACAGUACCGCAUGGUAUAGUGUGAAAAACUCCGGUGGUAUAAGAUGGACCCGCGUUUGAUUAGCUAGUUGGUGAGGUAAUGGCCCACCAAGGCGACGAUCGGUAGCCGGACUGAGAGGUUGAACGGCCACAUUGGGACUGAGACACGGCCCAGACUCCUACGGGAGGCAGCAGUGGGGAAUAUUGCACAAUGGGGGAAACCCUGAUGCAGCGACGCCGCGUGGAGGAAGAAGGUCUUCGGAUUGUAAACUCCUGUUGUUGAGGAAGAUAAUGACGGUACUCAACAAGGAAGUGACGGCUAACUACGUGCCAGCAGCCGCGGUAAAACGUAGGUCACAAGCGUUGUCCGGAAUUACUGGGUGUAAAGGGAGCGCAGGCGGGCGAUCAAGUUGGAAGUGAAAUCCAUGGGCUCAACCCAUGAACUGCUUUCAAAACUGAUUGUCUUGAGUAGUGCAGAGGUAGGCGGAAUUCCCGGUGUAGCGGUGGAAUGCGUAGAUAUCGGGAGGAACACCAGUGGCGAAGGUGGCCUACUGGGCACCAACUGACGCUGAGGCUCGAAAGUGUGGGUAGCAAACAGGAUUAGAUACCCUGGUAGUCCACACCGUAAACGAUGAUUACUAGGUGUUGGAGGAUUGACCCCUUCAGUGCCGCAGUUAACACAAUAAGUAAUCCACCUGGGGAGUACGACCGCAAGGUUGAAACUCAAAGGAAUUGACGGGGGCCCGCACAAGCAGUGGAGUAUGUGGUUUAAUUCGACGCAACGCGAAGAACCUUACCAAGUCUUGACAUCCUGCGACGAUGCUAGAAAUAGUAUUUUCCUUCGGGACGCAGAGACAGGUGGUGCAUGGUUGUCGUCAGCUCGUGUCGUGAGAUGUUGGGUUAAGUCCCGCAACGAGCGCAACCCUUAUGGUCAGUUACUACGCAAGAGGACUCUGGCCAGACUGCCGUUGACAAAACGGAGGAAGGUGGGGAUGACGUCAAAUCAUCAUGCCCUUUGUGACUUGGGCUACACACGUACUACAAUGGCGUUAAACAAAGAGAAGCAAGACCGCGAGGUGGAGCAAAACUCAGAAACAACGUCCCAGUUCGGACUGCAGGCUGCAACUCGCCUGCACGAAGUCGGAAUUGCUAGUAAUCGUGGAUCAGCAUGCCACGGUGAAUACGUUCCCGGGCCUUGUACACACCGCCCGUCACACCAUGAGAGCCGGGGGGACCCGAAGUCGGUAGUCUAACCGCAAGGAGGACGCCGCCGAAGGUAAAACUGGUGAUUGGGGUGAAGUCGUAACAAGGUA